ACGAGUGUGUAUGUUUUUCUGUGUCUCCAUGCGUGAGAACAGGUCUGAUUUUAGCUUUGGUUCUCUCAUAAUUAAAGGCAGUUUGGGUUACAUUCUGUACUGUCAGUGUUAACACCUGAGGAUUGCCAGAGGACGCGCCUCUGGCUGCGCUCGCUCUGCCCUUUUUACGCGUAGCUACGCAGAAAACCUCGUGCCACUGAUGCUCUCUGUGUUCCACAAGAGUAGUCUUCCAGUCCGUGCGGACAAUUCGGAGUGACAGACCUUAUCCCAGAGAGUUUGGCGGCGGAAACCAAGUAGUCCCUCACUUUCUGCUUUGCGAACACUACUUGUCAUAUCUUUGCCUUUACCGUUUCUUUUAGAAGUGUUAUUUGCACGUUUUUCAUAGAAUUUGUGAAAAAAGAAAAACUUCUUCGAUACAGUCAGCGCAUUUCGUGCCAUCAAAGAUUUAUUCUCACCCCAAUGAGGUUCGCCAAAGCAUUGUUCAUAACAAUUUUGUAAAUAAACGCAUUACAUUUAUACCUACUCCUGACAUUAUGGAAUCGGAAAACCACAUCACCAUGAACAUGCAGAAGAGGAGCCUUGUAUUCUGAGGUGGAUGUAUAAUUAUCCAAAGAAGCAUUCAGUCAUUUCUCACUCAUUUUUGUGAACAGCCAUCAUGAGUACUCAACCAGUACAUCCUGCUCCAGUGCCUGUACGAUGCAGAAGCAGCUUGUUGAUCAAGACACUACUUUUCAUUAUUGUUUUUGCUAUUUGUUUUUAUUUGUAUUUUAGCAUAAAUUACAACUGGACGAGCCUAAUGGUAAUAGCCACUUAAUUUCUUAUUGUGAGCUUAGUCUGAAAAUGCCACUUUGGCAAACAGAAGACAGAACAUAUGAAAACUAUGUCAGUAUCAAAGCUCAUUACGUUCAGAAAACACCUUCACUUAAUUUUUAAUGAUAUGAAUAAGGCUAAAUAUUUUACUGCCUUCAUCAGUAAAAUUUCACAAUUCAUUUCACAAAUCUAAAAUGCACAGGUGGGAUAAAUAUAGAAAACAUUCCACACUACACUACUAUGGCCUCUGUACUGAAACUACUCAAGGGUCAGAGCUUCUUAAUUUGUCUUCAGAUUUCAUAUGAUGGCUAAUGUUCUCUGCAUUAAUUUCCAUGUGAGAUGUAGAAGCAAAUGUACAGGUAACUGCCAA